rnacentral:tRNA from 1 species
UCCCUGGUGGUCUAGUGGUUAAGAUUCAGCACUUUCACUGUUGAGGGCUGGGUUUGAUUCCCAGUCAGGGAA